rnacentral:rRNA from 1 species
UACGUAGGUGGCAAGCGUUGUCCGGAAUUAUUGGGCGUAAAGCGCGCGCAGGCGGUCAUUUAAGUCUGAUGUGAAAGCCCACGGCUCAACCGUGGAGGGUCAUUGGAAACUGGGGGACUUGAGUGCAGGAGAGAAGAGUGGAAUUCCACGUGUAGCGGUGAAAUGCGUAGAGAUGUGGAGGAACACCGGUGGCGAAGGCGGGUCUCUGGUCAGUAACUGACGCUGAGGAGCGAAAGCGUGGGGAGCGAACAGG